rnacentral:rRNA from 1 species
CUUUUAUGGAGAGUUUGAUCCUGGCUCAGGACGAACGCUGGCGGCGUGCCUAAUACAUGCAAGUCGAGCGCGGGAAGCAAACUGAAUCCUUCGGGAGGACGUUUGUGGAACGAGCGGCGGACGGGUGAGUAACACGUGGGCAACCUGCCUGUAAGACUGGGAUAACUCCGGGAAACCGGGGCUAAUACCGGAUAACUCAUCGGAUCGCAUGAUCCGAGGUUGAAAGAUGGCUUCUUGCUAUCACUUAC